AGAGAGAGACAUGCGCGCAUAUCAAUAAGCGGAGGAAAAGAAACUAACAAGGAUUCCCUUAGUAACGGCGAGUGAAGCGGGAAGAGCUCAAAUUUGAAAUCUUCAAGGGUUCUACCUUUACGAAUUGUAGUUUAUAAGAAGUGUUUUCUGUUAGGUGUAUUGGCUAAAAGUUCUUUGGAAUAGGACAUCAUAGAGGGUGAGAAUCCCGUAUUUGACCAUUACUUUCCAGCUGUGUGAUACACUUUCAAAGAGUCGGAUUGUUUGGGAAUGCAGUCCAAGAUGGGUGGUAAAUUUCAUCUAAAGCUAAAUAUUGGCGAGAGACCGAUAGCGAACAAGUACCGUGAGGGAAAGAUGAAAAGAACUUUGAAAAGAGAGUUAAACAGUACGUGAAAUUGUCAAAAGGGAAGCGUUUGACACCAGUGUUGUUUUUCCGAAAAUCAAUUACGAAUGUUUUGUUUUUGAGGAGUUAUGACUUCAUCGGCUUGCUCCUUUCUUUACGAAACUUUCUUAAUGCACUUUUCGGUUAACAAGUCAACAUCAAUUUCUUUUGUUGUAAAAGGGUAAGAGGAAGGUGGCUUGCGCUUCGGCUCAAGUGUUUAUAGCCUUUUAUCUCUGCAAUCGGAGAGAUUGAGCUCUGCAGCGUAGAUCCUUCGGGGUUAGAUACAUUGGUGCUAAGCUAUAGCCUUGUAUAGACAACUUGUUGACUAUGCUCAGUCAUGUAGCUUACUCGCUUAUGCUAUUUUACCUACGCUUAGGAUGUUGAUAGUCACAGCGUGUAC
rnacentral:rRNA from 1 species